GACGUAGGGGGCGAGCGUUGUCCGGAUUUAUUGGGCGUAAAGCGUGCGUAGGCGGCUGCGCAAGUCGGUUGUGAAACCCCGGGGCUCAACCCCGGAACUGCAUCCGAUACUGCGUGGCUAGAGGUAGGUAGGGGAGAUCGGAAUUCCUGGUGUAGCGGUGAAAUGCGCAGAUAUCAGGAGGAACACCGGUGGCGAAGGCGGAUCUCUGGGCCGAUAUUGACGCUGAGGAGCGAAAGCGUGGGGAGCGAACAGG
rnacentral:rRNA from 1 species